rnacentral:lncRNA from 1 species
GUUUAUUGAAAAUAUUACAACAUUUCAGAAAGAUUCAAACAGUUCCAUGUGGCGAAUAGUCCAAUCUCCAGGUGACUUGCCUACAGUUGGGAUGAAUUUCCCAAAGUCCAAAAGCUUCAGCAUUUCUCCAGUGUCAAGAUCUAUUUCAGCGAUCUCCUGAUCCAAGGCUGAGACCUCAGGAGCAUGAUUAUCUCUCCUUUCUCUCUUCUCCUCCUGCAUCUUGAUGGAAAUACCUUUUACUGGGCCCCUAUGAAUCGGCUUCUUCAGAUGCAUGACUCAGCCCGCUAUCUUGUUGUAGAGUUUCUUGCUGAGGAUAAUGACAGUCUCCACCCACAUGCUUGUUCAUGUGGAAAUCAUUACCCAGGGUCUGGUCUUGCGGCUGUUGGUUUGUCCCAUCCAACGUUCAUCAUCUUCAGCUUUGCUUCUAAAGACAUUUCCUCUUGUUCACUAAAAGCUGCUGCUUCUGAACACAGUUCUGGAAUGAUAAAACAGUCUCUAGACUUCCUUGAUCCUAAUGUGAUGGAUAUAACUAAGGCUUCCUUUGUUGUAGGACUGCCUGUGGCAAAUUCAAACUUAAUGGUCUUUAUAAACUUCACCGGAAAGUCUCCAUUUCUUCUUCAGUUGGUUGCUUCUCAGUUCUAUGACUGCAACAUUUUUCUCCAUUACUAG